rnacentral:rRNA from 1 species
CCAACCUACGGGAGGCAGCAGUGGGGAAUAUUGCACAAUGGGGGAAACCCUGAUGCAGCGACGCCGCGUGAGUGAAGAAGGAAUUCGGAAUGUAAAGCUCUAUCAACAGGGAAGAAAAUGACGGUACCUGACUAAGAAGCCCCGGCUAACUACGUGCCAGCAGCCGCGGUAAUACGUAGGGGGCAAGCGUUAUCCGGAUUUACUGGGUGUAAAGGGAGCGUAGACGGCGGAGCAAGUCUGAAGUGAAAGCCCGCGGCCCAACU